rnacentral:ncRNA from 2 species
GUGUAGGCAAUGCGCGUCGGUUUCCACAUGGAAUUGAAAGGGAAUCCGUCGUGGGCGCAAGCCUGCGAACCGGAACUGCCCCCGCAACUGUAGGCGGCGAGAGGUCAGCGAAACAGCCACUGUGACACUGUCAUGGGAAGGCCGCUGCCCUUGAUGACCCGCCAGUCAGGAGACCUGCCGACAGGCAACAGAAACG